rnacentral:rRNA from 1 species
AUGAUAGCCACAACAUGCUGGUAUCUGUGGUGGCAGCGGAGAGAAUUCGUCAAAGGGGAGGAGCUGCAAACGCCGGAGAGGAUAGCACCUGCAAUCUUGGCGCUUGCCCUCAACUACGCUCGUGCUGUAGGGAAAGGUCCGACUGUUGCUAAAUUAAACAAGUGGCCAUCUAUCUUACCAGGGCAUCUAGUUCUGAACGUGGACGCAUCCUAUUUUGCUGGGACAAAUUCAGGUGCAUGCGGGGCGGUUGUCAGGGAUCAUAAAGGUCGUUUCAUCACAGCUGCAACAGCAAGACUUGAACACGCCGCUGAUGUUGUCGCGGCAGAAACAGCGGCACUGUUUGAAGGUUUAAAAUUAGCCCUAAGUGUGGGAUGUGCUAAGUUGAUGGUAAGAAUGGAUAACAGUGUUGUGGUGGAUGCAAUAAAGCUAAACGAAGGCCAUUCAAUGGUUGCAGCGCCUUUGUUAGAUGAUUGUCGAAAUAUCUUGGGUGAUUUUGGAAGGUUACUAUUGAGCAUUGCUUUAGAGAGUCAAAUGUAG